GCCCGGAUGGUCUAGUGGUAUGAUUCCUGUUUUGGGUUCCCCUUCUUACGAAGGUAUUCUCGCAUACAGGAGGUCCCGCGUUCGAAUCGCGGUUCGGGCC